rnacentral:rRNA from 1 species
GGUAUUUUGACCGUGCAAAGGUAGCAUAAUCAUUAGUUUUUUAAUUGAAAGCUGGAAUGAAAGGUUGGAUGAGAAAGAAGCUGUCUCUAUUUAAUUUAUUUAGAAUUUUAUUUUUAAGUUAAAAAGCUUAAAUUUUAAUAGAAGACGAGAAGACCCUAUAGAGUUUGAUUAAUUUUUUUAAUAAAGUUAAUAGGAUUUUUUAUUUUUAUAAAAAAAAUUAAUUUAGUUGGGGUGAUUGAAAAAUUAAUUAAACUUUUUUUUUAUGAAUACAUUAAUUUAUGAGUAGUUGAUCCUUAGUUAGAGAUUAAAAGAUAAAAUUACCUUAGGGAUAACAGCGUAAUUUUUUUUGAGAGUUCAAAUCGAAAGAAAAGAUUGCGACCUCGAUGUUGGAUUAAAAUAAAAUUUUGGUGUAGAAGCUAAAG